GACACGGCCCAGACUCCUACGGGAGGCAGCAGUAGGGAAUCUUCCGCAAUGGACGAAAGUCUGACGGAGCAACGCCGCGUGAGUGAUGAAGGCUUUCGGGUCGUAAAACUCUGUUGUUAGGGAAGAACAAGUACGAGAGUAACUGCUCGUACCUUGACGGUACCUAACCAGAAAGCCACGGCUAACUACGUGCCAGCAGCCGCGGUAAUACGUAGGUGGCAAGCGUUAUCCGGAAUUAUUGGGCGUAAAGCGCGCGCAGGCGGUUUCUUAAGUCUGAUGUGAAAGCCCACGGCUCAACCGUGGAGGGUCAUUGGAAACUGGGGAACUUGAGUGCAGAAGAGAAAAGCGGAAUUCCACGUGUAGCGGUGAAAUGCGUAGAGAUGUGGAGGAACACCAGUGGCGAAGGCGGCUUUUUGGUCUGUAACUGACGCUGAGGCGCGAAAGCGUGGGGAGCAAACAGGAUUAGAUACCCUGGUAGUCCACGCCGUAAACGAUGAGUGCUAAGUGUUAGAGGGUUUCCGCCCUUUAGUGCUGCAGCUAACGCAUUAAG
rnacentral:rRNA from 1 species